rnacentral:rRNA from 1 species
CCCGCUGAACUUAAGCAUAUCAAUAAGCGGAGGAAAAGAAACUAACAAGGAUUCCCCUAGUAACUGCGAGUGAAGCGGGAAAAGCUCAAAUUUAAAAUCUGGUGGUCUUUGGCCAUCCGAGUUGUAAUUUAGAGAAGUGUCUUCCGCGCUGGACCAUGCACAAGUCUCCUGGAAUGGAGCGUCAUAGAGGGUGAGAAUCCCGUCUUUGGCAUGGACACACCAGGGCUUCUGUGAUGCGCUCUCGAAGAGUCGAGUUGUUUGGGAAUGCAGCUCAAAAUGGGUGGUGAACUCCAUCUAAAGCUAAAUAUUGGCGAGAGACUGAUAGCGAACAAGUACCGUGAGGGAAAGAUGAAAAGCACUUUGGAAAGAGAGUGAAACAGUACGUGAAAUUGUUGAAAGGGAAACGCUUGAAGUCAGUCGCGUCGGCCGAGACUCAGCCUUGCCUCGGCUCGGUGUAUUUCUCGGUUGACGGGUCAGCAUCAAUUUCGGGCGUCGGAUAAAGGCUGAGGGAACGUGGCAUCCUUCGGGGUGUGUUAUAGCCCUCGGUUCGCAUACGACGAUCGGGAUUGAGGAACUCAGCACGCCUUCAUUGGUCGGGGCUUCGGCUCACGUUAACGUGCUUAGGAUGCUGGCGUAAUGGCUUUAAGCGACCCGUCUUGAAACACGG